rnacentral:rRNA from 1 species
UGGCGGCGUGCUAACACAUGCAAGUCGAACGGGGAGUAUACUGGAGGAGAGCUUCGGCAGGAAUCGGGUAUAUUCCAGUGGCGGACGGGUGAGUAACGCGUGAGCAACCUGUCCCAGACAGGGGGAUAACACUUGGAAACAGGUGCUAAUACCGCAUAAGACCACGGGGUCACAUGGCCCAGGGGUAAAAGGAGCAAUCCGGUUUGGGGUGGGCUCGCGUCCGAUUAGAUAGUUGGUGAGGUAACGGCCCACCAAGUCGACGAUCGGUAGCCGACCUGAGAGGGUGAUCGGCCACAUUGGAACUGAGACACGGCCCAGACUCCUGCGGGAGGCAGCAGUGGGGAAUAUUGCACAAUGGGGGAAACCCUGAUGCAAGCGACGCCGCGUGAGUGAAGAAGUAUUUCGGUAUGUAAAGCUCUUUCGGCAGGGAAGAAGAUGACGGUACCUGCAGAAGAAGCCCCGGCUAACUACGUGCCAGCAGCCGC